CGACCUCGUGUUAGGGUAGAGUACCCGCCAAAUUUAAGCAUAUUAAUAAGCGGAGGAAAAGAAACCAACAGGGAUUCCCUUAGUAAGGGCGACUGAACCGGGAAGAGCCCAGCGCAUAACCUGGCGUCGUGACCCGGCGCCAGGGGUGUUGCGUUUCGGAGGGCCCGGCACGUAGUCUCUCACCGCCUAAGUUAUGCUUGAAAGCGGCCGCUACCCAUGGAGGGUGACAGGCCGGUGUGGCGGAGCCCGCGAGGGUACGCGUGAUAUUGUCGGAAAGGGCCUCUCCGUAGAGUCGGGUUGCUUGAGAAUGCAGCCCUAAGCAGGUGGUAGACUCAAUAUAAGGCUAAAUAAUAUGACCACGAGACCGAUAGCGAGCAAGUACCGUGAGGGAAAGUUGAAAAGAACUUUGAAGAGAGAGUUCAAGAGUACGUGAAACCGUUAAGGGCCAAACGGGUGGGACCUCGAAGGUCGAACCGAGGGGAUUCGGCUCGUCGGCCAGAGCUGGCUGGGCUGCGGGAUUCGCUUAUGCGACCCAGGAACCCUUAGGCGUGCCCACGUCCGAGCCGGCGCCGGCGGGCGUAUUUCCCCUCGUGAUGUAGGUCGCCGCGACCCGUUGCUGGGGACGUCGAAGGCCCAGGCGGAUUGGUACCCCGACGUCUGCGUUUACGCGGUCGAAGGGGGAAACCUCUGGUGUCCUGGCUGCCCUGCGACGGUCGUGCAGGAGAGGGGCAAACUCUCUCGCGGCGUGCAAAAGGUCGGUGACCCACCCGACCCGUCUUGAAACACGGACCAAGGAGUCCAUGUGUGCGAGUCAUUGGGCGCACUAAACCCAGAGGCGUAAUGAAAGUGAAAGGGGGGCGUCCCGGGGUCUUCGGGCCUCGGUCGGCGUCCUCCGGGGCCGAUCCCCGACCGGCCGCUGCCGCCGAGUUUCCCAUCCCAAAGCGUGGUCGAGGGGGGUGCGCGGGGUGAAUCCCCUUCCCCCGUCGCUUACCUCCGGCCUCGCGGGUGCUCGGUGCGCACGGUGGUCCGUCUCCUUCGCGGGAGGCGCUUGUACGCAGGGGGGCGCAGGCCCGGGACUUCCCAUUCGACGCCGUCGUGCAAAUCUGUUGUUGGCCUCGCCAGCUUUGCUUGGGCUCUCGGUUGGCGCGCCGCGCAUCAGGCGGGCUUCGGGUGGGGGUUUCGGCUCUCAUUUGGGUUCGUCCCGCGCGGUUUUGCCUUCCGAUCCUGCUCUGUCUGGAGUGGCCUAGCACGCGUGCUGUCGGCAAGUACCAUGAGCAGACAUGUUGGACCCGAAAGAUGGUGAACUAUGCCUGGCCAGGAUGAAGUCAGAGGAAACUCUGGUGGAGGUUCGUAGCAAUUCUGACGUGCAGAUCGAUUGUCAGAGCUGGGUAUAGGGGCGAAAGACUAAUCGAACCAUUUAGUAGCUGGUUCCCUCCGAAGCUUCCAUCAGGAUAGCUGGUACUCGCGGAAACGGAAGAGUUUCAUACGGUAAAGCGAAUGAUUAGAGGUCUUGGGAACGAAACGUCCUCAACCUAUUCUCAAACUUUAAAUGGGUGAGAUGCCGAGCUUGCUUGAGCGCUGAAGCUUAGGCGACUAAUCCGAGUAUCUAGUGGGCCAAUUUUGGUAAGCAGAACUGGCGCUGUGGGAUGAACCAAACGUCGAGUUAAGGGGCCUAAACGAAUGCUCAUCUAGACCCCAUCGAAAGACGUUGGUUGCUAUAGACAACAGGACGGUGGCCAUUGAAGUUGCAAUCCGCUAAGGAGUAUGUAACAACUCACCUGCUGAAGCAACUAGCCCUUAAAAUGGUAUGGUGCUCAAGCAUUCUCCCGAUACUCGACCGCCGGUGGCACUAAAGCCCAAGCUCCCCUCUUCACCGGGGGGAGCCCAGGCCUCCAAGCCCCAGCGAGUAGGAGGGUCGCAGGGGUGAGCGCUGAAGGGAUCCGGCGCGAGCCGGCCUGGAGCCGCCCCUGGUGCAGAUUUUGGUGGUAGUAGCAAAUAGUCCAGAGAGACUUCCCUUGAAGGCCAAUGUGGAAAGGGGUGCCAUGUGAACAUCAGUUGGACAUGGGUUAGUCGCUCCUAAGCCCAAGGCUAAACCCUUAUCCCACGCUAGAGGGAACGGCCAAGCGAGUUGUCGUCAUCCGUGGCGGCUCAUCCGUGAGAGAUUCUUCUCAGUUGCCGAUGGGAAUUCGUGGCGAAAGGGAAUACGGUACUUAUUCCGUAACCAGGCCUGGAUGCCAACCGGGGCUAGGUUCCUUCUUGGGCCGGCCCUUGGUGCAGGAACCUGGUAACGGGAACCAACUUGCGUCCAUCGGCGGUGGUCCGGGGAAGAGUUUUCUUUUAUGUUUAAGGCGCCGUGACCCUUGAAACCACUCGCAGAGCGAAAGGGUGUUGGUAACACGGUCUGCCGUAGAGCACCGCGAUUCUUGCGGCGUCCCGCGUACCACUGCCGGUCCGUGAAACAUGCGAGGCAGGUAACUGCAUGGGGCGAAGCGGGGGGGUCUGCUGCUGCGUUCUGCGGCGUCACGGCUCAGCGCACGUACGCACGCGGCCUCCGCGAUGCACCCCAGUUUCGGGCCUGUGCGUACCCAUAUCCGCAGUCGGUCUCCAAGGUAAGAAGCCUCUGGUCGAUAGACUAAUGUAGGUAAGGGAAGUCGGCAAAUUAGAUCCGUAAAUUCGGGAUAAGGAUUGGCUCUGAGGAUCGGGCCAGUCGGGCCUGUGCGGGAAGCGGGCCUGGGCCUGGGCUCUGAGGCUCUGAGCUGCGCGCGGUGAUGGGUGAUGCCGUCUACCCUGCGGCACCAACGUCGCCGGUGUCCGAUCACCCGCAGUGUCUCGCCUUCCCCGGUGGCGGCGACCCAUUCCAAAUGCGGCCUCGCGUCGCGCUGUCCUUGUUACCAGCUCGCCGGUGCGGCGGUGCUUGUCUGGUCCGGGUUCGCAAAAGCGGCCGGCGGGCGAUCACCGCGUCGUUGGGGCCCUCCGGUCGCUCCCGGUCCCACUCCGCCGUCCGCGCUAAAGCCGCAGGGUUCGCGCAGCGCCGAUCGCAGGCGGGACACGCUCAUGCGAGGUGGGGCCAACGGCCCGGCGUGCGGUAGCUCGCAUUUCGCGGUGGCGGCCCUAGCCCUCUCGCCACUCGUGCCGAGAGCUCGGACCGGCGUGUCUCCGGCCCUCCCGUGGAACGCGCUAGGCUGCGUGGGCGCGGGGGCUCCGGCUCUCUCUAUUGCCGGCUUUCGGCCGGUUAAGUAGCAGCAGCAGUCGUCCCUCGCUCCAAACCCACUUCGGCUGGCGCCCAGCGAUCAACUCAGAACUGGCACGAACCAGGGGAAUCCGACUGUAUAAUUAAAACAAAGCAUUGCGAUGGUCAAAGAUAGGUGUUGACGCAAUUUGAUUUCUGCCCAGUGCUCUGAAUGUCAAAGUGAAGAGAUUCAACCAAGCGCGGGUAAACGGCGGGAGUAACUAUGGGCAGAAUACUUUCCAAAUGAAGAUGAACGAUUCCCUGUGUUAGGCGGGGCUCCGCGCCCUUGUCCCCGCUCGCUAAGAUCCUUUUGUGGAUUAGACAGAGUGGAGGAUAAGCGGCGCGGCUAAUAGGGGAGGAGGAGACCGUUGAGACAAAUGCCUCGUCAUCUAAUUAGUGACGCGCAUGAAUGGAUUAACGAGAUUCCCACUGUCCCUAUCUACUAUCUAGCGAACCCACAGGCAGGGGAACGGGCCUGCGCCUAACAGCGGGGAAAGAAGACCCUGUUGAGCUUGACUCUAGUCUGAUUUUGUAGAGAGACAUCAGAGGUGUAGCAUAAGUGGGAGGUCGUCACAUCAGGGGCUUGCUCCGUGCGGAGACAAUGAAAUACCACUACUCUGAUUGUUUCUUUACUUACUCGGUGAGACGGAAUCGGAGCUUCCCCACGUGGGAUUAUCUUCUGUUUCUAGACUAAAGCGGCGGAAGGAAGGGAGCGCCGCGAUCCGCUCCGAGGACAUUAUCAGGUGGGGAGUAUGACUGGGGCGAUACAUCUGUCAAACGAUAACGCAGGUGUCCUAAGGCCAGCUCAGCGUGGAGAGAAACCUCGCGUAGAGCAAAAGGGCAAAUACUUUCCAAAUGAAGAUGAACGAUUCCCUGUGUUAGGGGGGGCUCCGCGCCCUUCUCCCCGCUCGCUAAGAUCCUUUUGUGGAUUAGACAGAGUGGAGGAUAAGUGGCGCGGCUAAUAGGGGAGGAGGAGACCGUUGAGACAAAUGCCUCGUCAUCUAAUUAGUGACGCGCAUGAAUGGAUUCACGAGAUUCCCACUGUCCCUAUCUACUAUCUAGCGAACCCACAGGCAGAGGAACGGGCCAGCGCCUAACAGCGGGGAAAGAAGACCCUGUUGAGCUUGACUCUAGUCUGAUUUUGUAGAGAGACAUCAGAGGUGUAGCAUAAGUGGGAGGUCGUCACAUCAGGGGCUUGCUCCGUGCGGAGACAAUGAAAUACCACUACUCUGAUCGUUUUUUCACUUACUCGGUGAGACGGAAUCGGAGCUUCCCCACGUGGGAUUGUCUCCUGUUUCUAGACUAAAGCGGCUGAAGGAAGGGAGCGCCGCGAUCCGCUCCGAGGACAUCCUUCUCUCUGGUGGGGAGUUUGACUGGGGCGAUACAUCUGUCAAACGAUAACGCGGGUGUCCUAAGGCCAGCUCAGCGUGGACAGAAACCUCGCGUAGAGCAAAAGGGCAAAUGCUGGCUUGAUCCUGAUUUUCAGUACGAAUACGGACUGCGAAUGCAGGGCCUAUCGAUCCUUUUGACUUUGUGAGUUUUAAGCAAGGGGUGGCAGAAAACUUGCCACAGGGAUAACUUGCUCGUGGCAGCCAAGCGUUCAUAGCGACGUCGCUUUUUGAUACUUCGAUGUCGGCUCUUCCUAUCAUUGUGAAGCAGAAUUCACCAAGCGUUGGAUUGUUCACCCAUAAAAAGGGAACGUGAGCUGGGUUUAGACCGUCACGGGACUGUCCUAUUUGCGAAAGUCCAAUUUUCGUAUCGGACCGU